UCAAGCAAUUCUCCUGCCUCAGCCUCCCGAGUAGCUGGGACUACAGGCACACACCACCAUGCCUGGCUAGUUUUUGUACUUUUAGUAGAGACAGGGUUUCACCAUGUUGGCCAGGCUGUUCUUGAACUCCUGACCUCAAGUGAUCUGCCCGCCUUGGCCUCCCAAACUGCUGGGAUUACAGGCAUGACCAUCGUGCCCCGUCAACAAUUUUUUUUUUUAAUAGAAAACUUUAUUAUGGGGUUUCUUUAAGGGCCGCACUUUCUUGAAGUGGCAUUGGGUGAAAAUAGGCAACUGUCUUAUGUUUUCCUUAUUUGGGGGGUUAGAAGAAAAGAAGGUCACUCUGAUAAAAAGACCUAUGAUUAAAGAAGGAUUUGUUUUCAGGCUCUAAGCCUUGUUACUGUAACUAUGGGAGGGAGCAGGCACUAACCUGGCCAACAUAUGUUUGGGCCUUGGCUCUGCACAGACAGAAACUAUCCCCGUGGACACAGUUUGCCCUCCUAGCUGCCAGCCGGACUCAUGAGUCCCAGAGCUUUGAGGUUGCAGCUAAAUCUAAAAUCCUGGCUGGGAGCAGUGGCUCAUGCCUGUAAUCCCAGCACUUCGGGAGGCUGAGGCAGGCAGAUCAUUUGAGGUGAGAAGUUUGAGACCAGUCUGGCCAACAUGGUGAAAACCAUCUCUACUAAAAAUACAAAAAUUAGCCGGGUGUGGUGGCAUGUGCCUGUAAUCCCAGCUACUCAGGAGGCUGAGGCAGGAGAAUCGCUUGAACCUGGGAGGCAGAGGUUGCAGUGAGCUGAGAUUGCACCACUGCCCUCCAGCCUGGGCGACAGAGCCAGACUCUGUCUCGAAAAACAUAAAAAAAGAAAAAAAAGAAAAAAAGAAAAAAAUCUAAAAUCCCUCCAUUACUGACAGUCAAUCCGAGAGUCCACUACCCAUUGCCCGAGGGCCAGCCUUCCCUUUACACGCCAUGACAGUGUCUCACAGAAAUUGUUGAAGCAAGGCCUGCUCUCUAGCCCUAAUCAAGGAGGACUGUUGCCCCAGGCGCUACCGUCACAAAUGUGCUUGUGGCUUCUGGGCUUCCUCACCAGGGACCUUAAAUCUCACCAACUCAUGGGGGCAUCCACUGCCAUCUACCACCUCAUGUAGUUAAUAGGGAGGCUGGGGGGCUUUGAGAGUAGAAAGAAAAUGGCUGCCGAUGGAUGUGCUGACCUCCCAUCUUCGUUCAACUUUAUCACAGGACUGCGUUCCACCCUUGCUCUGACUAAAUCAAUCCGCAGCAGCUGAUGCCCUUCUUUCGUGAGGCGUUGACCAGGCUGGACUCCUGUGAUCACAGGUGUGGCAUCCACUCCACAAGUCACACGGAGGCACUGGGACACACGUAGGGGCUGCCUGGGUUCAGCUCUCAGUCCAUCUCAUGUCCAUUCUGAAGGGGUCAAAAUGUUCCUCAUGAAGAGAAAAGCCAAAAAAUUCCUUCUUUAUUUACCAAAGCUCUAAUUCUUUUCUUUCUUUUUUUUUUUUUUCUUUUUUUUUUGAGAUGGAGUUUCACUCUUGUUGCCCAGACUAGAGUGCAGUUGCGCGAUCUCAGCUCACUGCAACCUUCACCUCCGGGUUCAAGCAAUUCUUCUGCCUCAGCCUCCCAAGUAGCUGGGAUUACAGGCAUGCGCCACAGAGCUCUAAUUCUUAAUGCCACCCCUGGAUUCAGAUCUAGGGCUUGGGACUUUAGGCUUAUUUGGAAGAAUCCCUCUCCAUUGCUAUACACUUUUGCUGGUUUCUAUAAUCCAAGCUCUGAAAGGCACUCAAAGGUCUUGUUUGCACAUCUGGCCAUCUGUGGGGAAAUUCCUCCCAUAAAGGUCUGGAGAAAUAGCUUUGUUGCUAACAACUUGUGUUGUUAAGCUAGAGAGUGUACAUUCUGCAUUUUACUCCAGUACCUAGAUACGAGAUUCUUUUAGGGAGUUGCUGAUUUUCUGAGGGUGUCUGUGGAAGGGCUCAAGGAGAGCCUUUAGAAUGAUGAGUUUGAGGCUUGCUGAUCUCCUGAUGUUGGAAUCUAACGAGUGGACUUGUAGGCUUUUAGAGGAACUAUGUAGAUGGAUAGUUAUAGAAAUCCUUGGCUAGGAGUACCAAGAAGAAACAUAUAUGUACGCAGUCACAUACUGAAAAGGGAAUAUAAGAUGGAGAAUUUCAGCUGCACAUUUCUGUAGAUUAACAUGUUUAUAUGGCAGAAGAUUGCACCAUUCUAGGUAAAAGAAAAUUGUUUGUCUCUAAAUCUAUCUGGGUUAAUGGGCUACAUUCUUCAGUCCUGACUUUGGACCUAAAUUCUGUUGUCAUUAGUCCACAAUGAAAUGAGUCAAGUAAAAAAGAAUGCCAGUGGAAGAUUGGUAGAUGAUCUUCCUUAGAAGGAAGUUCCUUUUAUUCUGAGAUGGUACCCUUUCUACUUUUUUUGUGAUUAAAACAUCCUUACUUUUAUGAACUGAUGGUGGUAAUUGAUCAUGGGGAUUUCAGAUGCAGAUUUUUGCUGGAGAAAAUUAAACAUUAAAUCCACACAAUCCACCCCCGCCUACCCCAUAGACCCCUGUUUUUCAAAGGAUAUUGGUCCAUAAAAUCCAAAUAUCUGGGACUAGCUGACCUACUUACUUUCUUGGAAGCCAUUAGGCAAUGACACUCUCCUGUCCCAGAAGAACAGGCUACAACCCUACUCUGCAGGCUUUUCCACUAUUUUCCUCUUGCUUCUGACGGGGAGUGGUAACCUUUUCCUAGCGUGUGCCUUCUCUGCGUGGUGCCUCUUCUACUCCUUGCAAGAGAACAAAUUUGCCUCUUCCUCCUCUGGGCUGCCCAAGCACCUUGUUUGUACUUUGCUUAGCACUUGCCAUAAUAAAAGACAAUUAUUUGAAUGAGCCUUUUUUCUCACUAAGCUGUGAGGUUUCUGACAGCUUAUCUUUUUAUUUUUUAUUUUUUGUCAUUACUAACCACAAUGCCUGGUAAAUAUAUAUUUGCUGAAUGAAUAAGCAACCUAAAUCUCAGGUGGCAGUUAAAGGCUAUUGUCUCAUUUGUCUCUUCCAGUAGCAAUAAACAGCUAAUCUAAUAUAUAAUUUUUAUUUUUAUUUAUUUUUUUUGAGAUGGAGUCUCGCUCUGUUACCCAGGCUGGAGUGCAGUUGCGCAGUCUUGGCUCACUGCAACCUCCGCCUCCUGUGUUCAAGCGAUUCUUCUGCCACAGCCGAGUAGCUGGGAUUACAGGUGUGCGCCACCACACCCAGCUAAUUUUUGUAUUUUUGGCAGAGAUGGGGUUUCACCGUAUUGGCCAGGCUGGUCUCGAACUCCUGACCUCAGGCGAUCCAUCUGCCUUGGCCUCCCAAAGUGCUGGGAUUACAGGCAUGAACCCACUGCACCUGGCCUCUAAUAUAUAAUUUAUGAUGCCUGAAUACUACGAUAGAGUUCUUCUUUGGCUAUCUCUUCUCCUGACAUCAUAAUGCUAGGAAACACACUGAGCCAGAAAUCUGAAAACUGGGCUUUAGUUCCAAGCCACUUACUGUUUGGAGACUCAGUGUCCAAAGGAAAGGAAUUAAGAGCAGGUUGUCACCAUCUUCAACAUGCUAGAGAAGAGAGGCUAGGAGAGAUUGCUCCUCAGAGGUGAGAUGCUGACUAUUCUCCAAGGAGUUUUGUUAAGUCAUUUUGAACUUUGCUUGGCUUUUUUUUUUUUUGAGAUGGAGUUUCACUCUUGUCACCCAGGCUGGAGUGCAGUGGCACAAUCUCGGCUCACUGCAACCUCUGCCUCCCAGGUUCAAGCAAUUCUCCUGCCUCAGCCUCCCUAGUAGCUGGGAUUACAGGCGUGUACCACCACACCCAGCUAAUUUUUUUGUAUUAUUAGUAGAGACGGGGUUUCACCAUGUUGGCCAGGCUGGUCUUGAACUCCUGACCUCAAGUGAUCCGCCCACCUUGGCCUCCCAAAGUGCUGGGAUUACAGGUGUGAGUCAGUGUGCCCGGCCUUCUUGUUUGGCUUUUGGUAACCUAUUUAUUCAUUCAUUCUUCCAAAAAGUUUUAUUGCCAAAUAGCACCAUUCACUUGCAUCCCUCAAAAAGAUCCACGCAGGUUUUGGAGUCAGGCAUCUCUAAGUAUGAUGUUGGCAUGAGUCUUGGCUCUGUCUUCCAGGAGCCAUGUAAUACGGGGCAAGUUCCCAUUUUAGGUUUCAAUUUUUCUCACCAGCCGAAAGCGUAUAAUAAUCCUUCUGUCACAGUUAUUGAGAAAUGAGAACAUGUAUAUAAUGUAUCUAGCCAGUGUUCAGUACAUGGUCACUUCCCUUAAUGCAGAACCCAGCCAACUUAAACAUGAUAAACUCAUUCAUGGCCAGGUACAGUGGUGCAUGCCUGUAACCCUAGCACUUUGGGAAGCUGAGGCUGGCAGAUGGCUUGAGCCCAGGAGUUCGAGACCACCCUGGGCAACAUGGUGAAACACUGUCUCUACAAAAAAUACAAAAAUUAGCUGGGUGUGGUGGCACAUGCCUGUGGUCCCAGCUCCUCAGGAGGCUGAAAUGGGUGAAUCACUUGAGCCUGGCAAGGCUGCAAUGAGCCAUGAUCACACGACUGCACUCCAUCCUGGGUGACAGAGCAAGGCGAGACCCUGUCUCAAAACAAACUAUGUUAUUGGAGACUUAGAAGUCUUCACUUUCCCAUCCCCGGCCCCACCUUCAUGUCUACGUUGUAAAAGAGGCUGCAGCAAGAGGGCAAUACCAAUAUCUAUUCCAGGGGAAGAGUUUGGUAAUGAUGGACUUUCAGGAAUAAAGGUUUGGGGGAAAAGCUGAGAUUUCAUCACUUACAAGUGAGCCGCUGUAGAAGCCAGUCAAAUGUAUUGCGUGGUAAGCGAGCUUUGACUUUACUAAAUCAGAAGGGGAUGGGGAACAUGUGUGGGUGUUGGAGUGAUUAGAGAUUCAGUGUGUUUGUGUCCUGCUGCUUUGAUUCCCUUAUUAAAGAGAAUGAAAAUAAACCCAGCAGCUGCUGGUUAACUCUUUCUGGGUAUAGGCCUACAAUCAGCAGAAAUGCUCCAAGUCAUCAAGCAUUCCUGACAUCCUGGGUGGAAUUAUCUAAUCUAAGGCUUUUGCAAGGGAGGAAUUUGAGUCCCCACCUAGCCUUUUCUCCUAGAGUUCUGGAAGAGAUUAUCACACGGUCUCAAAAACUAGAGCUCUAACCUGUUUUUGGUUUAUGUGUUUGUUCAUUUGUUAGUUCAUUCAUUUGCCUAGAUCAAAAGAGCAUUCUCGAGGCCAGGGGCUGUGGGUCGCGCCUGUAAUCCCAGCACUUUGGGAGGCUGAGGCAGGCAGAUCACUUGAGGCCAGGAGUUCGAGACCGCCUGGCCAACAUGGUGAAAGCCCGUCUCCACUAAAAUUACAAAAAUUAGCCAGGCAUGGUGGCGGGCACCUAUAAUCCUAGCUACUUGGGAGGCUGAGGCAGGAGAAUUGCUUGAACCCAGGAGGCAGAGGCUGCAGUGAGCCGAGGUCAUACCACUGCACUCCAGCCUGGGCGACAGAGUGAGACUGUCUCAAAAAAAAAAAAAAAAAAAGCAUUCUGAAUCAUGGAUUUAAGAUAAUCAUGAUAAACAACAUGGUCUAGCUUCCAGGUUCUCACAGCAGAAGAAAGAUAAGGCCAACAGUUAGAAGACAGAGGUAAAUGCAGUUUAGGAAAGGCAUUUAGGAGGAGGAGAAAGAGCAAGUCCCAGAGUGUGCUGGUGGUUGGAGAGAUGAUGGGGCCACCAUUGUUGUGCACGCUUAUUACAAGCCAGGCAUUGUGCUGCCUUCUGCACAUAUUAUCUCUGUAUCAUCACAACCACCCUCCAAGGCAGGUCCAGUCUCAUCCCAUUUCUUGAAAAGAAGGCUCAGGGACAUUAAGGACCAGACAUGAUCUCCCCCACCUGGAAAGUGGCAGAGCCAGAAGUCAAACGUUCAUCCAUCCAUCUGGUCGUGGUAUCCUCAAUCUCUGCCUCCAGAAGCGUGUGAUCUUGCUAAAUCAUAGCUAUUGCCGAUCUAGCCAAAAAUGGACAAAUAAAGGCACGAAAGUAGAAGUGGUAUAGGGGGUGGAAGCUGCCCCAUAAGGGCCUGCUGGGGAGAACUGGGGAGGGGGACGGGGCAUGUAGAAUUGGUAGGCAAUGGGAACACAGAAAGCCCAUGCCGCAUACCACUUCCCUAGAGCUUUUGACUCUCAUUCCAUAAGGAGAGGAACCCCAGGUGGGUAGGCUUUGUCCUCGGGGCAGGGUGGUGGGGGUGGAGAUGGUGGAGCAGCCAUGGGAACAUAAAGGCAUAUAUCCUGGAUUUUCAGGGAUAAUCAUAAUUUUCAAAUCAUCCCUUUUCAUUGACAGGCCAUAAAGGAAACAUUGGUCUUGACUCUUGUUUCAGAAAAUAAGGUCCCAGCAAAGUCAAUGGGUUAGGAAGUGUGGGAGCCCUGUUCUCUGACGACUGUUGGAAACGAGAUUCAUGGAAGGAAGCCUGGGCUCUCCUGACUUUGUGCUUCAGUGUCCAGGCAGAAUCUCCUCAGUUAAUUCUCCAGAAGAGAGCCCCCACCCUUCCUCUUUAUACACUCUGGCAAGGGAGCUCCUAAUCUUGCAGUCCCAGGCUCCCAAAAUCUCCGUAGCACACAUUUUUGGGGGUCCCCCAUCUCCUGUCCAAACCUUGGAAUUCGUAAUCAUUUUAGUGCUUAGGGAAAGAGAGGAGAGGUAAUCAGACCCUAUUCAAAAUGCAUCUCUUUCCUUCCAUUUUUCUUUCGUCAGUCUCCAGCCACGUGGGUCCCAUCACAAGUCAUCAAUAACAAGAUGGUCACCCCUGAGUCCAAGGGAGGCUCACAAGACUCAGGCAGAGUGAAGCUGAGCACAGGGCAGGAUGUGAUAAGCAGGCCUGAACGGAGCCGAGGAAGGCCGGGCACUGGCAGCCUUUAAGUGCCUUGCAAGGACAUGUGCCAGGAGUGCGUGUAUGCCUUUCAGGCUCCUGAGCAUGCCCCCGGGCACUUCAGCCUGGCCUUGGCCUCAUUACUACCUCAUGCUGUGUAACGGACACAGGUGCAUGUGGAAAAAGAAUCAAGGUUUUCUGAUAGAACCAAUUUCCUUUACUGGAGUUUGCAAAUAACCUGCUGUCCUUGGGCCUUUGUGUUUCCAUCUCUAAAAUGGGAAUACUAAUCCUGCCUUCAAUGUCCCACUGACCACAUACACCCCUCACAAAGAUACUGUGAGGAAGAGUGAGUAAUAGCAAAGAAUCUUAAGGCUAAAAGAACCCCAGGGUUCAUUUUCUUCUAUCCCUCUACUUCCAGCCAAGUUCUCUACACAAUAAUACCCACACCAAACAAAGGAAUGUGCCGGGCAUAAAGACCAUCUAGAAAGGACAGCCCGCAGCUUCCCCUUGGUUUGAAGCCAAGUUGGAAGUUGUCAUGCCAGCUGCAUUUUUUUUUUUUUUUUACUGCAUUGCUGUUCAUCAUCAAGUAAUUCAGGGCACUGGGGGGGAAAAACUUCUCUGAAAAUGAGGGAGUGAUUUGCAGCAUCUGUUAUUUCCUUUUUAAUUGAAUCUGUUCUUCUCAGAUACCAGGAGCAAGUGCCAAAGUCAGCAGUAGAAUUCAGCUGUGUACAUUUUGAACGAGCUGGAAGAUAAGUUUAUGAGCACUAUACGGAUGCAGAUUGUACAGAAACCAGAUGGCCAGAUUGUCCUCAAAGUCCUCUGGAGGGCGGUAGCUGACAUGAAGCUCCAGCAUGAGGAGAGUGAAGCAAUGUCAGCUGAUGAUGGGAAGGCAGGGUAGGAUGGUGUUGAAGAAGAGAGGUGUCUGGCAAGCCUGUGUCUGAGCCCGGGAUGCACUCAUUAUCUGCAUAACCUUGUACAAAGUAUUUACCUUCUCCUUUGCUCAUCUGUAAAGUGAGUGCAAUUAUAGUACCUAUGUCAUAGAGUUGUUCUGAAGACUAAAUGAAAUAAAUUUUUUGUUGUUGUUCUUGUUGUUUUUUGAAAUGGAGUCUCGCUCUGUCGCCCGGGCUGGAGUGCAGUGGCGUGAUCUCGGCUCACUGCAAGCUCCGCCUCCCGGGUUCACGCCAUUCUCCUGCCUCAGCCUCCCGCGUAGCUGGGACUACAGGCGCCCACUACCACACCCGGCUAAUUUUUUGUAUUUUUAGUAGAGACGGGGUUUCACCGUGUUAGCCAGGAUGGUCUCGAUCUCCUGACCUCGUGAUCCGCCCGCCUCGGCCUCCCAAAGUGCUGGGAUUACAGGCAUGAGCCACUGCGCCCAGCCGAGAUAAAUGUUAAAUGCUGACACAGUGCUUAGCAUUUAAAUAACACUUAAGAUGUCAUGUCUUAUUAUUGAUUGGCGGUUGAGGUGGGACUUCAUGGUCUGGACAGACCUUGUAUUGCUGCCAUCAAAAGUUGCCUCCUUCAAAACAGUUGUAGCGCUGCUGUCAGUGUCUGUUAAGAAUGAGGUGGUGCAUAUGCUACGGGAGAGACAAUCCAGAAAGCUUCUGAAUCAAUAGAACCUCUGAGGCUGUUGUAGCUUCGGCAUAGCUAUCAUCUUUUAGGGCCAUUUACCCGAUGUGUCACCAAAGAGACACAGCAGAAACUGCUGGAGAAACACGAAUCCGAAAGCCCAAUAAUGACGGCUCCUCUCCUCUUUCUAUUCUCUCCACCCAUCUGUUCCCCUACUUCCUUCAAAGCACACAUAGACACACACCCCUUUUUUCUCUCUCAAAACAGGGGAUAAUUAAAAAACCGAAAUCCAAACAUCCAGCAGAAGUUUAUGCUUGAGUCUCAGAACACAACAUAUGGCUUUCCAGCCAUUGCCAGGUUCUGUAACCACAAAGAGAGAGGUCUCCAGCCUCCACCGUGGUCCCCUGGCUUAGCCACUAUUUGCUGACAGAGGCAGCACUCCCCUGCCAAGGACUAGAGGGUCAUGGUGUUCAACCCCUUGAAUUGUAGUCAAAAUUACAUUUUCCUGUCAUUUGAAAAUGCUCCAGAAACAGAGGAGAUUCAAGUGCUUCCUUUCUUUGUCCCUGUUUCAGCUUUCUCUUUCCAGUAUUGGAUUAGAGGCAGCAGGGACUGUGGAGAGAGGACGAGGAGGUGGAAUUUCCUGAUCGUGAUGCAGUGUCCCUCUGUGGGGGCAGAAAAACUGCACGGUAGUAGCAGCAAGCUGGGGCUGGUGAGAACUGCGAGAGGAAGGGGGAUCUCAGCUGCAGAGGAGAGCUCUGAGACAGGGUCUCACUCUGUUGCCCAGACUGGAGUGCAGUGGCUCAAUCCAUGACUCACUGCGGCCCCAGCCUCCUGAGCUCAUGUGGUCCUUCUGCCUCAACCUCCCAGCUUGCUGGGACUACAGGCAUGUAGCACAAUGCCCAGCUAAUUUUUUUGUAUUUUUAGUAGAGACGGUGUUUUGCCAUGUUGCCCAGGCUGGGUUAUUUUUUAUUUCUAUUGCCCAAGUCACAUGGAGGAAUUGUGUGAGAUUGUAGUAGGGAGGAUGAUUCUACCUUAUCCCUCCCUCCACAAAACACACACAUGUGCCGUGAGUUAGCUUUUCAUCUCUGCCCCUCUAAUAUCCCUUGUGUGGCCUCUUGCAUGGGGAAUCGCUGUCCACCCAGAGGCUUGGGACAUCAGGAUGUCCUUUCACCUCCUGAGGCAAGGUUGCCUGUGGGAGACCUUGCUCAGAGCUUUCAGUCUGCCCCGCUCUGUAAGGAGGUUUGGGUUGCAGACAUGUCCUUUCUCCACCUGAAGGCAGGUAACGCAACCACAGUGUCACCCAGUUCUGUAAAAUUCCUGUCUAAGGAGUCCAGUUCAGUUUUCUGAAUCUUGAACAGCAGACCAGGCUAAAGAGGGGAGCCCCAGAAAGCUUUGCUGGAAGGAAGAGAAAGACAAAAGCCUUGCCUUUUCUCUCGGUAGAAGCUGUCGGUCAUGGCUCUUCUAGCCUCACAAUUUGGAGAUGUUAGAUGGAAUCAGGAUGAUUAUAGCCUCAUCUCCCCUUCUCCCGUCCUGUCUAAGUAGUCACACAGAUUGAUGCCUUAAUUUCCCAUAGCACAGCCGAGGCCAAGGUGUAACAAACAGAACAAGACUUUACUAGCAGCUCAGGAUCAGGACUACGCUUAGGACCAGCCCAUUCUCAGGGGGUUCCCUCAAAGCUACCACUGUAUGACAGAGAUCCCUGUCCUCUAGCCCCCAGAAAAGUCCUCAAGUUUUGCCAGACUCCCGGGAGUACUAGCAUAAGAAAGCAAGGCCCAGAGACAUGGAGAUUCUCUCUUCUUCUCCCACCUAAGGCCUUCCUUCCAAAUCCUCAUUGCCUGUCCUAAGAACCACCACUUCCUGGAAUAACCGAUAUUGGAAGGGCCAGGUUCCCUCUCUGCCCCUGAGGAAGUGAUGCUACCCCACAGUCCGAGGAGAUAAUCACAUCAGAAUAUAGCAGACCUGCAGUAGUGUGAGAGAUUUCCUGGCAGUAAGAAGGGGUAGGGAGGAGGAUGUCCUUGUCACACCCAGGCUGCCUGGAUCCUGUGGCCUCCACCACAUGCAUUAGGCAUGGCUCUGGCCACAGAUCAGUAGAGGGAGAAGCACUGCACACAGCACGGAUGCUUGUAAAUGUCAAUUGCCCUCAGUGGCUAUAAUUAGUUUCUCUGGUACCCUGUGUUCAGCAAAGUGGGGAAACAGCCCCUUAGAAAGUGUGUAUUUUCCACCGCUGUACCUCGUGAUAUCACCACAGGUGCCUUCUGGCUGACCCCAAGUUUCUCGUUGUUCUCCAGGAACUGCUGUGACUGUUGGUGGCAGUUCUACAACUCUGAGAAGUCACAGGGGGCCUGGUCAACCACCAGCAAAUGACUUCCUGUUCCCUUCCCCUACUGUCCCCCACCCCCCAUGACACUAGGCCAGUCCUUGCCUGGUGAGAAUAAAUUCAACUGUACGUGGAUUUCUCACCCAAGUUUCUUUCUUUCUUUUUUUUUUUUUCAGACAAGUCUCACUCUGUCACCAGUCUCACUCUGUCACCCAGACUGGAGUGCAGUGGCACCAUCUUGGCUCACCGUAACCUUCACCUCCUGGGUUCAAGAAAUUUUCCUGCCUUAGUCUCCCAAGUAGCUGGGAUUACAGGCACCCGCUACCAAGUCUGGCUAAUUUUUGUAUUUUUAGUAGUAGAGACGGGGUUUCACCAUGUUGGCCAGGCAGGCCUCGAGCUCCUAACCUCAAGUGAUCCUCCCGCCUCGGCCUCCCAAAGUGCUGGGAUUACAGGUGUGAGCCACCAUGCCCGGCCUCAUCCAAGUUUUAAACACAUCCAAGAAAGUGGAUGCAUACCUACCUAGUCUAAUGUUUAAAAUACAUUUCGGAUGAAGCAUUUCUUGUUCUAAAACUACCUAACCUAGAGCCCUGGCGCCUCAGAUUCCUUGCAAGUCACUAAGUCAGUGCACGGCAUUGGGUACUAGUGUUAUAUUAUUGGGCAGACUUGUGAAAGGAUGUGGAGUCUCAGACUCCAGGUUUGAAUCUGCCAUCUCCAGCCGUGUGACCUUGGGCAAGUUAUUUAAGCUUUGAGCACUGGCUUCUUGAUCCAUCAAAUGGGAUAUUUAGGGGGGGAAAUUGGAUAGUAGGGAUUGUGUGAGGAUUAAGUAUGAUGACAUAUGUAAAAGCAAAUUAACACUGCACCCAGCAGGUCCUCAAUUGUAGUACUUUUUAUAUUCAUAGUAUGGAAUAAAGAAAAGUCUUUUUGAUUGGAGCCCAAAAAAAGGGAUAUUAGAGGGUCAGAAAUGAAAAGCUAACUCGUAGUGCAUGUGUGUGUUUUGUGGCGGGAGGGAUAAGGUAGAAUCAUCCUCUUCUUACUCCAAUCUGACACAAUUCCUCCACCUGACUUGGGCAACAGAAAUAAAGAAUAACCCAGCCUGGGCAACAUGGUGAAACACCGUCUCACCUAAAAAUACAAAAAAAUUAGCUGGGCAUUUUGCUACAUGCCUGUAGUCCCAGAAACCUGGGAGGUUGAGGCAGGAGGACCACCAGAGCUCAGGAGGCUGGGGCUGCCGUGAGCCAUGAUUGAUCCACUGCACUCCAGCCUGGGCGACAGAUUGAGACCGUCUCUCAAAAAUAAAUAAAAAACACUUACUGAGUAUUACCAUGUGCUAGCUGCUGUUCGAACAAUCUAAGCAUGAUUACGUUAGAUUGGUGAUGGGUAUUCUUACACUGCCAAUUUACAGAUGGAUUAACUAACACGCUGAGGUUAAAAGUAACUUGUCUAAGACCACGCGGCUAAUAUUUGGGAGUGCCCGGAAGUCAAUUCCCUUCUCUAAGCUUCAAUUUCCUCAUCAGAUGAUUGGUUUAGAUACCCAUGUCCACCAGUGCUCAAAAUUUUACAUCUGUGCUAAAUUUAACCAGGAAAUUUGGGAGUUAUGUUAGUGAUGUUUGCAAUGGAAAAGAAAUGGUUUAGGAAACUUAACAUGGCUUGAAACUCUUUAAAAGUCUUUCUUACCAUUUUUCUUGUCCCUUUCUUUUAUUACUCUCUCCUUGUCUUUUCCCCUUCGUCCUCCUUAAAAUAAGUCUCUGAGAGGGAAAAACCUGUGGUUCACAUCAUGAGUUCAUCAGAACCAGGCAUCUAUGUAUCCCAUCACAUAGGUCAAGGAGCCUCCCAGCAAAGGUAGUAAUAAUCAGCCUUAGUAGCUGGAAAGAUCAUUUCAUCUGUUUCUCUUCUUGCAAAACCUGAAGUGUUAAAUCAGAUUCUUGAACAGUAACACUUCCCAAACAAGUUGUCUCUACUGGCUGUUUCCACUUCCUAUCCUCCUCUUUUCUCUUAAACUUAUUUCAUUCAGGCUUCUGUCACACUGCCCCCCAAAGCUGCUGUCAUCAAGGUCACUAAUGGCCACAGUAGUGCCAUAUAUUGUGAGCAAUUCCAUCCUCCAUCAGCAGCAUUGGAUGCAGGCGAUCAGUCCUCUCUCGAUGCUUCCUUAAAGACCCUUGGCUUCUAGGAGUUUCUUCUCUCUUAGUCCUCCUACUGCGGUGCCUGCUUCUGCUCCAACUCCUUGGCUGGCUUCCUCAUCUCCUCACCUGUAAAUAUUGGAGGGCCCUCAGCUGAAAACCAUGGACCCCUUCUCUCCUUUGUCUAAACUCACCCCCAUAGUAGUCUCCAAACUCCUGGCUUUAUGUACUAUCCAUAUGCUGACAACUACUGCACUUACUUCCCCCACCCAGUCCUCUCUCCCAUUUUCCAGACUCCGUACUCAGCAUCUCCUAUGGAUGUCAAAUAGGCAUCUCCCACAGUCUUGUCAUCUCCAAGCAGGAUAACUCUUUCUUCCAGAUGUUCAUUCUAAUGCCUUGGAGUCACCCUUAGCGCCUCACUUUUUCCAUCCAGUCCAUCAGUGAAUCUGUCAGCUUCGCCGCUUCCACAGAUCCAAAUCCCUGGCAUUCUCUCUUGCUUGUAUUAUUGCAAUUGCCUCCAACCUGGUCUCCCUGUUUUGGCUUUUGCUUUCUUGUAGUCUCUUCUCAUCAGAAUAGUUGGAGAUCCUUUCAAAGUGUAAGGCAGAUGGAAUCACUCCACUGCUCAAAAUGCCCCAACGUUCUCUGUAUCACAAAGUUAAAUCUAAAGCCUUCCUGUCUCUAGGGUGUUCCCUUGCUACCUCUCUGAAUCUAUUUCCUAGCAUGUACCUCCUUGCCCAUUCAGCUGAAGCCACAUGGUCUAUUCUUUGUUCCUUGAAUACGCUACACACGCCACUGCCUGGGGCCUUUGUGCUUGCUCUUCCAGGAAGGCUCUUCACACAGCUAUCCACAGAGCUCUCCCUCCCUGACUCAUUCAUUACCUUUAUCUAAUCUUUCCAUGCAAAAUAGGAAUCCCUUCCCACCCUUCCCUGCCUUAUUUUUUCCAAAACGCUUACUAUAACUGUCCUCUCCCCUAGAAUAUAAACUGCAUGAGGUCAAAAAUCUUUGUAUUUUUUUUUUCUCUGCUAUAUCCCCAAGGCUAGAAAAAUGUCUGACACAUAGUAGAUGUUAAAAGAAUGAAUGACUCGGCCAGGCGCGGUGGCUCACGCCUGUAAUCCCAGCACUUUGGGAGGCCGAGGUGGGCAGAUCACAAGGUCAGGAGAUGGAGACCAUCCUGGCUCACACGGUGAAACCCCGUCUCUACCAAAAAUACAAAAAAUUAGCCAGGCGUGGUGGCGUGUGCCUGUAGUCCCAGCUACUCUGGAGGCUGAGUCAGAAGAAUCGCUUGAACCCGGUGGUGGAGGUUUGCAGUGAGCCAAGAUCGCGCCACUGCACUCCAGUCUGGGCAACAGAGCAAGACUGUGUCUCAAAAAAAAAAAAAAAAAAAAAAAAAAGAAUGAAUGACUCUAGGUCAGUUUCUACAACAGAUGCUGACUGACCAGCCAAGCUCUUUAUGGAAUUCUGUUCACUUAGAGUAAGCAAAUCUUCCACAGCACUACGGGGGGGUGGGAGUGGGAAUGUGGUGGCUGGGAGGACCACUAAAUCUUUUUUGCUCUGAAUUGCUUUCCCAUAUGAUGAUAUUUACCACACCAGGAUUUCAGCUCUAGCUCAAAGCUUGCUUAAGGAUAUUUGUCAGAGUGAGCUUGCCUGAGAGUUCAGUAAUUCUCAAGAUGGUUUCCCUGAAAGAAUCCUUGUUCAAACACCAUCCCUUUAAAAGUCCUUAAUCCAGACUGCCUGUUCUGCAGACAUUCUCAGAUGCAUUAUUUAAAGUUAUUUCCAGUGGUGCGUGGGUGGGAGGUGGGAGCUACAUUUGUUACUUAGUGGUUUCCAAAAGCCUUCCAGGAUCUUUCCUUUUUACCCUAGUGAGGUUGCUCACUUUUAACCCUUCUUUUCCAGGUCUCCUAACAUAACUUCUUAGGCUAAGCAGCUCAUCGGCAAAUCUGUUAAUGCAUUUCACUGCUAUUGGGUGAAAUUUAGAAACAUGCUACUCUGUUCUUUGGGGAUGCCUCUUAGCAGAGACAGGCUUCUUUUUCUUAAGGAGUCAAAGAAUGACAUUCAUAGAAGACACUGUUUAUUGGAUGAACCAGUUACACGGACUUUUUGAUUCUUGUAUAAUGCAUUAGUCAUCAUACUUUUGAAGAAUAAAGACAUCACAUGGUAUUUGCCCUCUCCCAGGGCCCUGCAACCUUUUGCAUCUGUUAUUUUGUUUGAAGCUCACAAAGCUUCCUGCAGUAGACAAGUUGUAUCACAUUUUACAGAUGAAGACAGAGGCACAGGGAGGGUAGUGACCAGCUGAAGGCUGCCCUUGGUGGAUGGCCCAGUGGGACCUAGAGCUCCGCCCUCAUGCUCUCUUGCUUCCUCGCCUUGCAAGACUUUGACUUAAACAUUCUGCCUCUCCUAAUUACUGAUAGGUGUCCUGGUUCUCUCCUGCACUCCAGGAACCCAAGUACAGGUCUCAAACACUUGAAGAUUGUCUUUUGCUGCACGGGUCCAUUUCUAACUUGCAACAUCUUUUUUCUGGUUCUUCUGCUUCUGCCAGAUACUGAGAGAGACGGGAAAUGUCUGUGUGUCUCUGGAUAUUUUGAGACUUUUCUUUGUCUAGGAGAGUGCUCAGUGGCAGAAGGAACCAUCUAGAUAUCCAAGGAGAAAACUACUCUUCCUGAGUUCUUUGGUCUCUAAGCUCCAGCUUGGUAGAGAAUUGGGCUUCUUUUCUGAAUAUCCAUAGUGAAGUCACAUUCCUUAGGAAUUCUUCACAUGGAAGUCUGACAGCUCUAGGGGGUUACCCUUUAAGCAUAAUAUUCAGAUCUGGUGUUUCUUUUUUUUUUUUUCGAGAUGGAGUCUCGCUCUGUCCCCCUGGCUGGAGUGCAGUGGCAUGAUCUCGGCUUACUGCAAGCUCUGCCUCCCAUGUUCAUGCCAUCCUCCUGCCUCAGACUCCCGAGUAGCUGGGACUGCAGGUGCCCACAACCAUGCCUGGCUAAUUUUUUGUAUUUUUAGUAGAGGCGGGGUUUCACCAUGUUAGCCAGGAUGGUCUCAAUCUCCUGAUCUCUUGAUCCGCCCGCCUCGGCCUCCCAAAGUGCUGGGAUUACAGGCGUGAGCCACCGCGCCCGGCCCAGACCUGGUAUUUCUUUCACCAUGGGGCUAUAAUACUGCCAGCCUUUGCACAGAGCUUUAGAGUUGUGGUUAUGCUUCAGAAGCUCCCAGAAAGUUUCUGAAAAUCCAGAUUCCUGGGCUCCUCCUGGCGAUUUUAAUUCAGUAGGCUUAAGAGGAUCGGAAAUCUGUACUUUAAAAAAAAAUCCUUUGGCAAUUCUGACAAUUAACCAGGUUUGGAAACCACUGUUUAGAUUACAAAGCCCUUUUGUAUAUAACAUUUCAUUUGUUCAUCACAAUGCAUGAGGAAGCCGUUAACCUCCUUUGCAGAUGUGACUCAAAUAUGGUAAAUAACCUAAGUCCUUAAGUUAGUGAAUAGUAGAGCCAAGUCUCCAGGCUAAAGCCUUUGUCUCCAAACCUGAUUUCAUUUCCACUGUGAUCUCCUUUGGAGACACAUUCUCCCAUGUAUCCGUUUUCCCAGAGGUGUUGGUUUCUUCUCAUAUUCUGCUUUGCUCACCAGCAAAAGGCCAAAUUCAUCUGUUCUUCCCUGCGAGCAGCUCUAAGCAGAUUUGGAGAAGGUGGUGGAAAGGCAGGCCCCAGGCAAGUGUCUCAAAGUAUCCAUCCUUGUCAGUUAUCUGGGCCCAUCAGACAACAGUGGCAGGCAGGCCCAAGGGAUGUUUCAGCCCAGUUCCAAGAAAGAGUCCCGAAGAGCACUGGGUAGAAACCACGGGCCGAUGGCUUAGAGAGUUAGUGGUAAACCUUUCCUGUUUCCAUGUGCAUUGUGUUUUGGAGCUAGAUCAUCAUGAAGAAACCUCAAAAAUCUCAAGUUUCAUUGUAAUAGGAAGGAGGCAGGGUGGCCCUGGGGGUGGCUAUGGGAAACUUUGAGUGGAUUUUCUGGUGCUUCUGGGUGAGGCUAUGUCAGCAUGUAGAAGUAACUUGAGAGCAGGGCUCUUUUGUCCUAGCUGGUUCUGUGUCAUUGGGAGCUCCCGGAGUUUAAAUGCUUAUGUGGACUUUGGUGGGUGGUCCCCUCAUCCCAGAUACCCAGUGUGGCAGCUAUUCUUGGGAUUUUAGAAAUUGGAACCUGGAGGACCUUUGCCUUAGGAAUGGGAGUUUGAUUUCUGGUUAUUUCGUUCAUUCAUCUAUUGAUAGAUAUUAUUACACAGAGUUAAGAGCCUAAGCUCUGGAGGCAGACUUCCUGGAUUCCAUAUCUGGCUUUCCACUUACUAGCUUUGUAAUUGUCACUGUGCCUCGGUGUACUCAUCGGUAAGAUCAUGAUGACACUGGUACCUACUUCUUCAGGUUUUGGCGAGGAGCAGAUGAAUUAUUAUGUGUGGAGUGCUUAGAAUCGGGGCAGGCACGAAGAAGUUGCGGCAUAAGUGCUAGCUUCACUGUUGUUUGACAAACAUCAUGUUCUGGGUCCACCACUGUGGCAUAGAGGGCAUAGAGGCAACCACCAGGGGCCCACCUUGCAGGAGUUCACAGUUUACUGGGAGACAGGCAUGAAAACAGACCACUGCCACGUAAAGUUGCUGUUGACAUGGGAAAUGCUGUAAUAGAGGAACAAUCAGAGGACUGUGGGGACACAGAGGAGCGGCCAGCUGUGUGCCAUGGAUGGGCUGGGCCAGGCCUGAACUGGCUUCUUAGAGGAGGUAGUAGCAUUUGAUCUUAAAAUGUCAUUAGCAAUUCACCAGAUGGGGGAAAGGGGAACGGCAUUCCAGAGAGAGGCAACAGCACACACAGGGCCACAGAGGCAUGACAACUCCAGCAUGUGCAGGAAAUGACAGAAAGUGGGGAAUGUGCUGCAUGAAAAGGAAGUGGGAGGUGAAGUGGAGAGUCCAGUGAGCGGCAUCCUAAGAUCCUGAGAAUCAUAAGCCCCAUGCCAAGGGAUGAGGACUUUGCCUGGAGGAAAGGCACUUGGGACUCACUGGGAGUGUUCGAAGAACAGGCUCAAAUUUGUAUGUUAUUUUAUUUAUUUAUUUAUUUAUUUUUGAGACAGAGUCUUGCUCUUUCCCCCAGGCUGGAGUGCAGUAGCACGAUCUCAGCUCACUGCAACCUCCCACCACCCCCUAACCCCCACCCCCCGGUUCAAUCGAUUCUCCUGCCUCAGCCUCCCGAGUAGCCAGGAUUACAGGCACCCGUCACCAUGCCCAGCUAAUUUUUGUAAUUUUACUAGAGAGAGGGUUUCACCAUGUUGGCCAGGCUGUUCUCGAAUUCCUGACCUCAGGUGAUCCAUCCACCUCGGCCUCCCAAAGUGCUGGGAUUACAGGUGUGAGCCAUCGUGCCCGGCCUCAAAUUUGGAUUUUAAUAAAAUCACUCUAGUUGCUGUGAUGAGCAUAGCACCAUAAACAGAAAAAAAAAAGAAAAGAAAAGAAACAAA